CCGAAGUUAGCAAUUAAACGGUUGUUUGUUAUUGGAGUCGAGUUUAUAUUUAAGAAAAGUUGAAUAUUUGUUAAAAUAGGGAAGAAAGUUUCGUGUGUAACUUAAGAAUAUUUAAUUAACUUUUCACCUAUCUCACUUUGAAUUAUCGUUGUUUCUUUCUACUGACUCUUUCAAUAUGCCAAUGAUAAUAACGCCAAGUUCAAUUACAUUCACACAUGCGCACACAUACAAAGAGUGUAAUUUGUUUUGGUGUCUGAGCUUCACUUCAUUCGUAACCAAUUUGGAAGAGAGUCAUGCUAUGUGGGAUUUAUUUUCUUGGGGGAAAAAAUGAAGUGAGAGUCUAACUAACCGUAUAAAGUUAUAGUAAAAUCCUCUUAUUUUACGGGUUCCACUAGAAAGUUCGACGAGGCCUGAAAACGAGUGCGCAUGCUUACAUCAACCACGAAUCAAUAGUUCUGCAGAAGGACUCUAGAACACAGCAUCUGACAGUCACGGCCGUAACACGCUCGAGAAUCGAAGCGUGACGUGACGACACGCGGAUUUAUUUCUUGUAUGUGACAACCGCCGUCGAAAAAUUUGUGGUCCUUUUAUUCACAGUUCGGAAAUAUCGAAAAAAUAACAAAAAACAACAAAAAAAAACUCAAAAACGACCCUCAAAAAAAAAACGCCUAAAGUUACCU